rnacentral:rRNA from 1 species
AAAGAAACUAACAAGGAUUCCCCUAGUAACUGCGAGUGAAGCGGGAAAAGCUCAAAUUUAAAAUCUGGCGGUCUUAUGGCCGUCCGAGUUGUAAUCUGGAGAAGUGUUUUCCGCGUCGGACCGUGUACAAGUCUCCUGGAACGGAGCGUCAUAGAGGGUGAGAAUCCCGUCCAUGACACGGACCGCCGAUGCUUUGUGAUACACUCUCGAAGAGUCGAGUUGUUUGGGAAUGCAGCUCAAAAUGGGUGGUAAAUUCCAUCUAAAGCUAAAUAUUGGCGAGAGACCGAUAGCGAACAAGUACCGUGAGGGAAAGAUGAAAAGCACUUUGGAAAGAGAGUUAAACAGUACGUGAAAUUGUUGAAAGGGAAACGCUUGAAGUCAGUCGCGUCUUUCAGAACUCAGCCUUGCUUCGGCCUGGUGUACUUUCUGUUAGACGGGUCAACGUCAAUUUCGGUCGGCGGAGAAAGGUUGAGGGAAUGUAGCGUUGUUUCGGCGACGUGUUAUAGCCCUGUUCUGUAUACGUCGGUUGGGAUUGAGGACCGCAGCGCGCCUUUAAUGGCCAGGGGUUCGCCCCAUGUACCGCGCUUAGGAUGUUGGCAUAAUGGCUUUAAGCGAC